UACAGAGGGUGCAAGCGUUGUUCGGAAUUAUUGGGCGUAAAGCGCGUGUAGGCGGCUUUGCAAGUCGGGUGUGAAAGCCCUCAGCUCAACUGAGGAAGUGCGCCCGAAACUGCAGAGCUUGAGUGCCGGAGAGGAUGGCGGAAUUCCCCAAGUAGAGGUGAAAUUCGUAGAUAUGGGGAGGAACACCGGUGGCGAAGGCGGCCAUCUGGACGGUGACUGACGCUGAGACGCGAAAGCGUGGGGAGCAGACAGG
rnacentral:rRNA from 1 species